CGCCCAGGGGCCUCCGGACCCCGAAGUCGCGGACUCCAGCAAGCAGGGGGCUGGGGCGAAGGGAUGGAGAGAUGGGGGCUUCGAAUUGCCUGGCGGCGGGGCGUGGGGGAGGGACCCGUGGAGAGGGGGUGUAAAUAAAUGAAUCGUUCAGAAUCGAGCCCACCGCGCCCAAAGCGGCGCAGCCGGGCGGGUACCAGCGGUCGCUUCCCCAGCAAGAUAGUUAUUGCUGCCCGCUGGGGGUUCGGCAGCUUUCAUGUUAUCUGCUUUGCGUGCAUUACUGGCAGGGAGGUUGGAUGCUGUUCAGGAUCUUAGAGCAAGACCAGGAGAUGUCACUUGAUAUCACUCUUUGGAAGAGAAAGAGAAGAAAGGAGUAUGUGUAAGAAAAACAAUUGGCAUAAACACCAGAUUUCCGCUAGCAACUGAGCCUAGGCACCUGAGUGGCUCCUGACUGACACAAGAUUUCGGAGCAAUGCUGAUUCCCUACAAUAUAACAUAAACACCAUGUCCCAUUUCAGAGAUGAGUAGCAGGACCCUGCAUCUUGAUUCCUGACGUGAUUGACCAGCAGUACUUCCAGAGGAACAUGCUGGUUCCCUGAGUUUGCCUAUUGCUUUUUU